AGAUGUGCUUCACAAGCCUCAGCUACAAACGCCUUCAAUUCAGAGGAAUCUUUGUAGUCCUGAAGGUGAACCUCACAGGCCUGAUCGAUCUUCCUCUUCAGUUCAUCAGACUCCUCAUACUCCGCUAUACAUUGCUCACGCUCUAGCUGAGCCCUGUCCUCAACAUGUUUUACUACCUUGAGCAAGGCUGAACACUUACGUUCCAAGGUCCUGACUUCAUGGUUGAGCUGUUGGUGGCGAAGGUUAAACUCUUCAGCCGACGAAGCCAGGUCCCUGAUACGAUCAGAGCUCGUACUCAACUCCUGCUCAAGGACCUCCACCCGAGCUAGGGCCCCUUCCUUCUGAGCUUUCACCUCCUCCAGGUGAACCUNNN
rnacentral:lncRNA from 1 species